AUUAAUUAAAAUAAAAAACUGGCUAAGCGCUUUUAUAUUACUUAUAGAAGAAUAAUGUAGGUUUGCGAUUUUAUAGUAUUGAGAAGUAUCAAAUUAUAAUGCAGUUAGCGUGUUAGGUCGAGAUUCCAAGACCAGUCAAUAGAGAAUUCUUUUCUCUUUUAGAAUAUUUGUCCAAAUGAAAACUGGUAUUAUGCAGCUUUGAGCGGUUUUAGAGAUAGGACGGCAGCGUAGAGUAAUUAACUUCGGACUUCUUAAGUAUGACCAUAUCUCCUCUUUCCGUAGAAAACUUAAUUGGCUCCCUAUUCGAGGUCCCUUCGUAUUCUAUUUACUCUCUACUCAAUCUUGUUUGACCCGCUCACCCCAGAUUAUCUCGGUUCGAAAUUUAAAUUACUUACCCACGUCCAGGCACAGUGACAAUAAAUAUGAGUGAUAAAGUACGAAAUGGUACAUAAAUCAAAUUCCUUGACUCUACGAGUAUGUAGCUGAUAAAAUAAAUCCCAUAUCAUGGACAGAAACAAAGAUUGACAAACAAAAUUGGCCGAAAAUAUAAUGGUUAAUUGUUACAUAACCAAUGCCUGGCAUCAACGGAAAACUCACAAGGGCGCUCCUGCAACUAGGGAAGGUCCGACUGAGUAUGGUAACCAGUGUCAUAACAGGUCAUGGACUAUUUAACAAACAUCUUUUCACAACAGGUGUCACAGACAGUCCCCUGUGCCGAGGAUGCAUGGAGACAGAAGAAACAGCCUCUCACGUGGUGCUGGAAUGCAGCGGAGUGACUCCAUACAGGGCUAAACAUCUCGGAUCUCCGAGAGACCUCCCCGAGGUCCUACUCAACAUUAAAGGUUUGAUAGGAUUCCUCGAGGAGCUGGGCUGGCAGGACUAGCCCACCCCCAACAUAUCACGCAAAAUAGGCGCAAGUCGUCGAGUUGCGGAAAAUCGCCCGAAUACGAAUACGAAUACGAAAUACAUAACCAAACAAUCGUUUAGUCAUAACUAAGAUUGCUGUGAAACAUUUCGGCAACUCUUAUAUGAAAUUAGGUAUUAUUGAUGCGUUGUAUACACGUGUAUCAACUUCAGUCAUAAAUUCCAAGGACCCCAAAUAGUAUUGCAGGCAAUUCCCAAACAUUUGUUCUGUAGGUAAUAAUUUACCUGAAUUGAUCUCAGAAAAAUACUGGUAUGUUACUCUCAAUUAUUUUAGGACUUAUCUUUUUUCUUAAACGCAUACCAUUUUUGUGUUAAAUAUUGUGGUAAAAAGAUUAGACUCGUUUAAUCAGACAGUACUAGGACAGGGCAUUAACUAUUGCAUAUAAGAGUUAUUUUUGACAUUUCAAAAAAAUCCUAAAUUAGGAGAUUUGUGCUGACUGAUGAUGGCAUUGAUGCCAUAUUUAUCAGAGCUCCCUUUUCCGUUCGCUCCAGUCGCCAGCAGCAGUUUUAGUUAAUUAAAGAGCCAGCAGCAACAAGUUGUAUUGUGUUUUUGCCUUCUGUUGUAGGGUUUUUUUAACACACGGUUUUUUUUCUUUAUUUAUGAACAGUUUUGAAUAGUACUCCCAGUUAUUAAUAUAACCAAUUAAACCAUAACGGCAUCGCAGAUAUCACAUCUAACGGAAUAAUUAAUGACUUCCGAAACCCAAUCACGAACGCUACCCUCAAGUCGCCAAGAAACUUAUCUAAUAUAGUUAUCGGAAUAAUCCUAAUACUUUAGCUAAGCAGAUUUUCUAAAGUAAUAUCUAAUAUAAUCUUUUAAAUAAAAGUCACGUAAUUUUAGAGCAUGUUGAAACAGAUUAACCCUAAUAGCGGGAGCGGAGUUAUGUAAAGCCUAGAAAUUUUCUUUGUUUUUUCAAAACUAUAAAAUAAUGCGUGGAAUAGAAUGCCAAAAAAGACUAUUUGCAAAACAACCUCCAAAGUAUUUCCUUAUUCUUCUGAACCCUUCAAUUGACAAACGACAUCAUCCUAGCGUGAAAUAUGUAUUUCGCUUUUCACUAAGACCCCACGUCACCUGAUUGAUAGCGCAACUGCUCGAGCGUGACGGACCUUAAUAUACGAAAAUUAAUUCUCAGGCAUUAGGACAGAGUACCUACUUGUUUGUGUCAGCACUUAUACUUUAUGUUUGUGUAAAAGAGAAAACACAGUAAAUUUGUAUGAUAUUGUUGCAUUUGAUUAUGUUUACAUAAUCGAAUUGCGACGGGUGAAAACAAAGUAGUGAUACAUUACUUGCUAAAUUAUUUUAUAUGGAAAUAUAAAAUUCGUCCAUUUUUUU